AAGAUCUCAGUGGUUAUUGGCAAAAGGAGACAUGAAGAUAAAAGACGAAACAUAUUUAACUUUGAAGUGCCUUCUUCAGAAGAUAGAGCUUCUCUUCCUUUUCUUGUCCCCUGCUAUUUCACUAAAACCUGGAUGUAGUUUUCAAGACCUCAACCACCAGAAGACCAAUUCGCAGCCCAUAACCUAAAGAGGUGGUCGUCAUCAAGAAAAGACCAGUAUGGAGAGAAAAAUACAAUGUCCAUCAGUAUACUAGCCUUGUUUUUGAUAGGAGCUGAAAGCAGGAUUGAUUGGGGUAAUAAUGGAAUGAAUUGUGGUACAUAAAUUUAAUGGAAUAUCACUGCGUUCUCAGGAACGAUGAAUAGGAAGGAUUCAGGGAAACAUAGGAAGAGUUGUAUGAAGUGAUUACAGAGUAAAGACAGCAGAACUGAGAGGGCCACAAACUCAAGGACUACAAUAAUGCAAACAAAGUCAACACGGCUAGACAGGCAAAACUCUAGUUAAAUAUAACAUUGCAUGGUAGGGCUGUCCUGACAGAGUUGGUGAAUUCUCCCCCUUUCUAGUAAUAAUGACAUAUUGUUUUGAGGGAAUGUACUUAGCAAGAGGCUUUGUUUAGGUAUUUGUUGAGAAAUAUCUGCUCUGUUUUUGCUUUCUAAACAAAAUAUAGCAAUAAAUUUAACAGAAUCCCUGGCA
rnacentral:lncRNA from 1 species